UUACCACCAUCGUCUCUAUCGUCAUCACCACAACCAACACCACUAGCACCACCACAACCAUCUCCAUCGUCACCACUACAACCGUAAUCACCGUUUCUCCACCUGCCUUCUUUUGAUAAUCUUAAAGUUGAUUCUAAAAAUGUCGGAAAUUUCAUUUUUCAUUUUCAUUUUCAAUUUAAAUUUCAUUUCAGUUUUCAAACAUCAGCUGUUACUGCAUCAUGGUUCUGGUUUUACGAGAAGAACGAAUAGAGAUUCAACCAUUUCAGAUCGAAAGAAGACAAAUUUGAUUUGAUGAUUUUGACCUAGAUUUUUGCACUGGUGUCUAACAAUCUCAUUAGACGUACGUAGAGGUGGUGGCCAUGGUGGUGGAGGAGGAUUAAAUUGAAACCAAGUGAAGAUAUCAUAUUUAAUGCGGAAGGAUGUAUUACUGGGUUAGGUAAUCCAUCUCCAACACCCGUUGAGGCACCAGCUCCAACACCAUUGACUUAUCUUGAAGUGGUGGCGGAGGCGGCAGACGGUGGUGGCGACGGGUGGUGGCGGUGGCGGAUUGAUGGCGGCAUUGGUGGUGGUGUCGGACUGGUGAUGGUGGUGCAAUGAUGUUGGUGUUGGUGGCGGCGGAGACAACGGUAGACUGACGGUGGUGGCAUCAGUGGUGGUGGCGGACUGUUGGUGGUGGUGU